UGGUACAUACUGUAGCACGUUAUUUAUACAACUUAGGGCUGUUAUUUACAAAUACAAAUAAUCAACUUACAUAAAUAUUGUUAUAACAUUUAGAAAAAAAACAUAUUUAGGUUUUGGUAGUCCAACUAAGCACAUGUCCCAGUGGUUUAUUAGAAUCUCUUCUGAAAUAAAUCCCACCAUGUCUGGCACACCAUUCACGGUACUGACCACAUUUAUUCGAACGGGUGCCUGCUCGAAAUGCUUCAAGAUUUUCGUAAUGGUUUUCUCGAGGACGAGUGUUAUUUGGACCCUUCGGAGUGUUAUUUGGACCCUUCGGAAGCCGGUAAAAGAGAUUACAAUAAUACGUUGUUCUUUCUUUAGCCGAGACGAAGAAAUAAAUAUGAUAACGGUCAGGUUGUAUAUUUAUUUGUGGAUGAUUAAUGGAUGGGUUGUAAGAUUGACACUUGACAUGUAAAAUAUUAUCUUUACCGAGUUCGUUUUUGAAUACUAAACGACUUUCGGCGCAAGCUUCACUCAAUCCAAAACAUAUAGUAAUAACAAACAGAAACACUAUGAAAUUAUUCAUUUUUUUGUGAGAUAUAAUUUUUGAAGUAAUGAAAUUAUCUAUCUGUUGUAUUUAUAACUUUUUGUGUAGAAAACGUUUGCCUUUAUUUUAGAUAGUCUAUUAAUGGUGUUAGCUAAAUUUGAAAACAAAAUAUGAACCAAGUAAAAUAAUUGGUCACUAUAGCUUUUACUCAGGUUAAUGUCGAAAGUAUGGUUAUCCAAAAACAAUAAAACUAAAUAAAUUAACUGUUAUAAACUAUAUGUCACCAAAAAAUAAAGAAAACCAAAAAUCUAAAAUAUGUGGAAUUUGAUUACUUUUAACAAUAUUGAAAACUAAAAAGUUCAACGACAUGUAACUUUUGCCAAACAUCAACCAAUAUGUUUAUCAAAUGUUAGUUGUAGUAAACUUAAUAAAACAAACCUAUUCAAUCACACAUUUUAGUUUCAGAGCCACUAAUUAUUUUCUUCAUCUGUUUGAUUAUAAUUUGUGAUAGUCUCUGUCUUCUUCUCCUUGGAAAGACAGGUGAAAUUAAAAUAGAUCCGUUGCAGCAGCCUCGGAAGCUAGAUGAACAAAAUCACAAACAGUUUUUUACUAAAUCUUUCAGAAAAUGGUUAAUUAAGAUCUGAAUAUAACAAUUUCAUAAUGUUUAGUUUAAGAACAUGAUGAACAUGAGUUUAAUAACAUAAAAAGAAGACUAUGAACAUAAGCUUAAGAACACUUCUAACAUGGCUUAAAAAACACUUUGAAUAUGAGUUUAAGAACAUAAAAGCACUCUGACAAUAUGUUCUCAAUGAAGCUUCAAAAGUAAAUGGGAAGUGAAACAUGUAUUUCUCUGAAUAGCAUUUAAUUGCUUGAACCUUUGACAGUUUCAAUUUUGUCCAAUAGCACCAACAGUGUCUACAAAAUGUAAUAAAAAGCAUUGCUCCAAAAAAAAAAGGACUUACAGUUUUAGAUUCAACUUAAGUUGAGCUUCCAGUGUUUAUAUCAUCUCCAAGACCACCGUUGUCUCCCUGAUAACACCAAGACACACAUUGUUAUUUUGACAGAAUAUCAAGUGAGUUACAAACUAACAUAUCAGGGACUCGUUGAAGAUGCGUAAGACUGUGAAGGUCUGACGCUCUGCAGUGUAAUGAAACUGGUCACGCUGAGCUGGAAUAUGUAUGUCUUGCCAACACCUCCAGCCUAUAAAAGACAUAGUAACAGAACAGCUUUGUCAGCCUCAUCAGCAAGCUUAACUCGACACAGUAUCAAGAUUCAACCAUUUUUAAUCAAUAAAUGAAACCAAACUAAUCUUACACUAACAAACAAAAACAAAAUCUAUAAACGAAACCAAAAUCAUCUAAAUCAGUAUACAGAAUCAAAAUCAUCUUACAUCAACAUUAAAAACAAAAAAAUGAUCGGCGUGGAUUUAAUGUGGAUUCAAAACGGCAGGUACGUGUACAACAUUCAAUCGGGAAAACUAAAACAAACGGCGGAUGUAAAACAUAACCUGAGAGUGAAGCAAGAGCAUGUCGACGCCCAUGAAUUCUCCACCACGGCGGACGUUUCUGGCCUCCCAGAAGCGGAGCAAGCACACUUCGACGGUGGAAGAGGAGCCACCGGCUUGGAGAUCGGAGAGGAAAACCAAAACGUUAGCCAUAACAUUGUAUUUUUUGAUGAGUUAAGAACGAAUAAGAUGUAGUCUCCGAGAGAACCAUGCAUACCUUUUUUAUAGUCGACUCGAACGCCUUGCACAUCAACAAUAUCGCAUUGAAUCCAGAUUGUGGGUGUUAGAUUAAUGGGGGGGGGGAUUAAAGAUGAUUGAUUGAUCGGUUUUUGAGUGCUUGCAACGAAGGAGACGGAACGUCAGCUGCGCAAGGGGUGUCACCUUUCGAUCUGGAGACGCGAGAAGCGUAAACCAUUACGCGUACACCUAAUCCAAAACGGGGCUUUUAGUUACCAUUAUGUUCUAAAACACGUGAUGGGCUGCAUGCUGUAAAGCCCAACAAAACAAUGGAACCCAGAGACAACGACUUAAACGAUGCACUGCGUUUCACUGAUUGGACACGUGUCGCAACAUCCUGUCUCUAUUUGUUGAGCUGGCGCAAGGAGAAGAGAGUCCCUCUCUACUUUAUGUUAUUAGAUUUAUAGUAAAAUUCUAAAAUAAAAUAAUAAAUUAUUCGGUAUAACAAAUAAAAACAAUAUAAGAGGUAAUAGAAUAAGUAAAAAAGCCACCGAUUAUAUACAAAACUGAAUAAUAAUAUUUUAUAAAAACACAAGUACAUUCAAUAUAUACAAAAUAUAAAAUAAUCAAUAUUUGGAGUAUUAAACCUAACAACAACAAUACAAACUUCAAUUUACUUACUAUAUAUAAAAAAAUUGAGGAAACCUUAAGAAAAUAUAUACCAUUUCAAUCAUGAAAUUCGUGUCAUACAACUUUAUAUCUCUAAAAAGAAUAAUAAAAAAAUAAUGAAUUUUAGUUAGAGAUUUGCGAAGAUGACAUAAAAAUGUAUUCUCAUUAUAAAAAACAUAACAAGAAAGAAAAACAAUACCUAAAACAGUAUAAUGUCAUAAAAUAUAUUUGACAACAAAUAAAAGAACAAAAACAAGUUACAAAAAGAAGCAAACAUCAAACGUUAAGUAAAAUGAAUAUAAUAUUUUUCAUCAUUUAAAAUUUUCUAUUAGACAACAAUCAUUUUAAUACAUAUUUCUUACAAAUGCAAACCUAAAACACAAACCACGAAUCGUACAAAAAAUUAAAAUCUAGAUCACAAGUAAAUUAUAUCCCGCCCGUAGGACGGGCCUAUCCUAGUAAUACAAUAAAGAAGAAAAAGGAGGAUUUCGCAUAAACAAAUGCUAGACUAAGGUUUAGAGAAAAGACAAAAGGUAAAAUAUGAAACAAGUAAAAAAAAAAAAAAUGAAACUGGUGUUUGAGCUGCAGAGAGAAGACCUACAACUUGAAGAAAAGACACAAAAUAUAAGAAAUGUAUCAACAAAAGAUGUGACUGAGUUGCAGAAACGUAACUCAAACAAUCAAAAUCUAAGAUUUAAUAUUUGGAGCAGAAGCAAAAGAUUAAAGUUGAUGAUGCAGAAAAACAGGUAGUUGAACUUAAAGAAAGAAAGCUUAACUUGAGUUGGAAUUAGGAUAUCAAAAUCUAUGUUUUAAGACAUUGUAGAUUCACACACGGUAAUAGAUAUUGAAUAAGCAAAACUGUUUGAUGAGCACGGACAUAUGCAUGGCUUAAGUAGCAAUUCAAGAAAUCAAAAGCUAUGAUCGAAGAGAAUAAUUCACAAAAGGUAGUAGAUGAAUACAAAAAAUUGGUGGUAGAGCUGCAAAGGUAAAUGAUUACUUGCAUCAUAAUUCUAAACAUCACAUUAAAAAAUCAUUAUAUUAAAGAAAAAUAAACAGUGUAAAACGUUUACACACGAAAUUCCACAAAAAAAAAAUAGAACACUAAUUAUCCUUACAUAGUACAUGAACAGAUAACCGAGAAUCAAACCAAAAUAGAAUUAAAAAUUCUGAAUUCAAAACUGAAUUAAUGUUCACAAAUAAGCAAAUGGUCCAUAUAUGUCUGGAAACAAAAUAUCCAAACUGAACCGAAACUGAACUGAAAUCGAACCGAAAAACUACAAAAUAUUAGUAUUAAAAUUACCAAAUAUUAGUAUUAAAAUUACCAUAUAUUAUUGGAACACUAAUUAUAAAUUGAACUACCGGAAAAACUAACAAAUUGCCAGAGUAUGUUUUAAUCCAAAAUAUUUUAAAAUUAUCUGAAAGAACUGAACCACUCAAUUUUUUUUUUAUAAUACAAGUAACUUUGGUAAGAUCACAUAUCCUCUGAAAAUCUUCGUUAGAUUCAAUAACUUUGGUAACUAAUUUCAAUACAAGCAUGUAAAACACAUUCCGCCCGUAGGCGGCCGACCCUAGUUUACUAAUAAAAUGAUUUUAACUAUUUGCAUUACCAUUUCAAAAAUCAUUUAUUUAAAUGAUGUAAAUUUAUUUGACAUCAAUUAUAAAAUAAUGUAAAUAUUAAAAAUAAAUGAUGUUAAACAAUGAUUUUUUUUUUGUAAUGUGAGCCAUAACCCAUUUACCACCAAAACUGAUUCGUUCUGGUUACAAGUUUUACCAAUAAAAUAGAAAAAGAUUAUCUACGAUAUGGAAACAACAAUAUACAUAAUCAUUUAAUGAACUAGCAUUUUAAUAUUUUUGGUACAUACUGUAGCACGUUAUUUAUACAACUUAGGGCUGUUAUUUACAAAUACAAAUAAUCAACUUACAUAAAUAUUGUUAUAACAUUUAGAAAAAAAACAUAUUUAGGUUUUGGUAGUCCAACUAAGCACAUGUCCCAGUGGUUUAUUAGAAUCUCUUCUGAAAUAAAUCCCACCAUGUCUGGCACACCAUUCACGGUACUGACCACAUUUAUUCGAACGGGUGCCUGCUCGAAAUGCUUCAAGAUUUUCGUAAUGGUUUUCUCGAGGACGAGUGUUAUUUGGACCCUUCGGAGUGUUAUUUGGACCCUUCGGAAGCCGGUAAAAGAGAUUACAAUAAUACGUUGUUCUUUCUUUAGCCGAGACGAAGAAAUAAAUAUGAUAACGGUCAGGUUGUAUAUUUAUUUGUGGAUGAUUAAUGGAUGGGUUGUAAGAUUGACACUUGACAUGUAAAAUAUUAUCUUUACCGAGUUCGUUUUUGAAUACUAAACGACUUUCGGCGCAAGCUUCACUCAAUCCAAAACAUAUAGUAAUAACAAACAGAAACACUAUGAAAUUAUUCAUUUUUUUGUGAGAUAUAAUUUUUGAAGUAAUGAAAUUAUCUAUCUGUUGUAUUUAUAACUUUUUGUGUAGAAAACGUUUGCCUUUAUUUUAGAUAGUCUAUUAAUGGUGUUAGCUAAAUUUGAAAACAAAAUAUGAACCAAGUAAAAUAAUUGGUCACUAUAGCUUUUACUCAGGUUAAUGUCGAAAGUAUGGUUAUCCAAAAACAAUAAAACUAAAUAAAUUAACUGUUAUAAACUAUAUGUCACCAAAAAAUAAAGAAAACCAAAAAUCUAAAAUAUGUGGAAUUUGAUUACUUUUAACAAUAUUGAAAACUAAAAAGUUCAACGACAUGUAACUUUUGCCAAACAUCAACCAAUAUGUUUAUCAAAUGUUAGUUGUAGUAAACUUAAUAAAACAAACCUAUUCAAUCACACAUUUUAGUUUCAGAGCCACUAAUUAUUUUCUUCAUCUGUUUGAUUAUAAUUUGUGAUAGUCUCUGUCUUCUUCUCCUUGGAAAGACAGGUGAAAUUAAAAGUUCACUCUCCUCAGAGUUUCUUAAGUAGCAAAUGUGAAAAUGAUACUUACAAAACCUCAUUUGCAAAGCCACCCAAAAGAUUAUGGUUUCUCUCUGGUUCUUUAUCAUUAGGCUUCCACUAAAUUGGUUAUAGAAACAGUUCAGUUGUUUGGUUGUUGGUGAAUGGAAAUGGAAUAGUGGUACAUGUUUGUUUCUGUUUUGCUUGAACUAUUGAGUUACGCUAGAUGCAAUCAGCUUGCUCCUUGCAAACAAGACACAGAAUACUCCUUGAAUAGUUCUGGGCACCUUGGGACCAGUGUAUUCUUAAAGUCUUGAGGCAAACCCUUUACGGACUCGACCUUUUUCGACACUCACAAUCAACAAUAUACAUAACCAUUUAAUAAACUUAUUUUUUUACUAUUUUGCUACAUAUUGUAGCACAUUAUUAAUCUAUUUAUCUAUCUCUAAUACUGUAAUACUAGGUGUUUGGCCCGCACAUGCGGGCAUGAUCAUUUUACGAAAAGUAUAAAUUUUAAAAAUAUCAUGCUAAAUUAUUUUUUAUAUUUUUAAUCACAAUUUUUUUUUGUUUUUUUUGUCAAAUUUUCAUCUUCUUGAACAUCAGUGGAAUCUAAAAACUACGAAAAAUCACCUAUCAACCAUCUCACGCAAUGAAGUAAAUUAAAAAGAUGAACUUUCUUCUCUUUCAGUUAUUUUUACCUCAUCAAACCAGCAACAUGCAAGAAACUAUCAAAAACAAACUGAAAAUACAAAACGAAAAUAAAUACAAAGAAAAAUAAAUAAAUUAAAAACUAAAUUUUAGGAUAACUUCGUAUAAACUUAAAACAGAAGAAAAUUGAGAUAAGGACAAUAUUUCCUUAGUUUGCGUGAUAAAUAUAGACACAUAUUUAUCUUACUGUUUUAAAAUUUAAUUUUACAGGUUUAUUUGACUGUUUUGAAUUAUUAGAAGUCUUUGUUUUAUUUAGUCUAACGUGUAAUUAUCAAGUUGCCCACAAAAUACCUAUCAAAAUAACGUGUAAAGUGUAAUCAAUUAUACAUAGAAUUAUUAAAAUAACUAUUUAUAUAUUUAUUAAGGGUAAUAUAAAUAUUAACCGCUCUAACUUUUAACAUGAAAGUUCUGUUGCGAAAAAUUACUUCGCAAAUAAUAGUAUAUAUUAUUUUUUUCUCUCUCCUUGGGGCAAAGCCACGUGUCAUCCUAUUUUAAGCUUCUCUAUUUACAUUCUGACCGAAUACUAAUGUAUGGGCAAUAUUCUAUAACUGUUACUCCCUAUGUUUCGUAAAGUUACAUAUUAUAGAGAAAAAUUUUGUUUCAAAAAGAUCUAUUUUUUUUGCAUUUUUAAUGCAUGUUUUAUCAACUAAUUGCAAACUUCAAAAAACUUAAUUGCACUUAUAAAAUUUUUAUUAGCUUAGAAUUAUGGGAAAAAGAUACUCACAAAAAAUAUGAAAAUUUAGUGUGUUUUAUUAAAAUGUGUGAAAAGUUUAAAAUAUGUAACAUUUUGAAACAUACGGACUAAAUGCUAUAUGCUCUUAUAUUAUUUUCUUAGAAGGCCCAUAAGUUAUUAGAGUUUGCUUCGUUAUACAGUAGAACCUCCAUAAAUUAAUACUUGAUAAAUUAAUAAUUUAUAUAAAUUAUAAAUUUUGCCUGUCCCCAACUCAAAAUUUGACAAAAAUCUAUAAAAUAAUAAGAUAAUAUUUUCUUUUUGAAAAUAUAUGUAAAUAUAUGGUCCUACUAAAAUUAUAAAUUAAUAAUUUAUAUGUAUAUAUAUUUUAUAUAAGUAAGAACCUAUUAUUAUAUUGUCUGUCUUAUAUUCACAAUAGAAUUAUCAUUAUAUUUUGAUAAAAUUUAGUAAUAUUAAAUCUAAAAACACAUUUAAGUUCUAUGCAAUAUAUAUUAUAUACACCAAAUAAAAUAAUAAAAUUAAUAUAAAUUUCAAAUUAAAAAAAAAAUUAAUGUCUAUACACUAAAAUCAUAUAUUUUUCUUAUCUUAGAAUAAAUAUAUCCUAAAAUAAGAAAUCUAAAUAAAGAAAUUUUUGUAAAUUAAUUUCUCUAUAAAUUAAUAAAAUUUCAAAGUCCCGAUAAUUUAUAAAGGUUCUACAUUAUCUUUUGGAUGAGUUUGGCUAUUUCCCAUGGAUAUUAUGGUAUAUUCUAGAAAUGAUAAGAUCUAUUCUAAUAAGGAUGGAAACCCGCAGGACAUCCUAUGCCUAGCUGAAGUGGAAAGCACGACAUGGAUGGAUGCACAAUUAACGGUGAAGAAACAGCAUGAGCAUCUUCAUCAUGGGAGUUUAAAACAGGGGACUGAUUGGAUUUCCUUGGACAAUACGAGGAUUUGUUAUAUUGAUGGAGCCUGAAAAAAGAAGAUAAAUUCACGGGACAAGGAUGGUUAUGUCGAAGUACUGGCUCGGCAGAUGUUAUGAUGGGUGCGAUGAAUUUCCGUAGAAGUCUAUCUCCUCUUCAUGCUGAGUGCAAAGCAUUGAUAUGGGCGAUAGAGUGCAUGAAAACCCUUCAGUUCUUUGAAGUAGUGUUCUCAAUUGGUGAAGAUGGUGUCGACACCUGAGACUGGCCAGCUUUCUCUACACACAUGGAAGAAUUUAGACGCAUUAAGUGUUUCUUCCCUUAUUUCCGAAUCAGACGUAUUCCAAGAGCACAAAACACUUUGACGGACAGAAUUGCACGUGGUGCGAGAAUUUCUCCUACAACUAUGCUAUAUGUCGAUUCCACACCUCCGGCUUGGCUCUCCGAAUCGGAUGGUUUAAUUACUUAGUUUAACUGUUUUUGUCAAAAAAAAAUUAGUAAAGCCCAACAUGAAAAGUUUAAUUAACUUGCAUCAACUAAUAACAUUACAUAAUUAGAAUAUGUCCAUUUAACACUAAUAGCAAAUUAUACAACAAAUCAACACAACACUUUACAAAUUUAUAUAACACAAGUAUCAAAUAAUCUGCACGUAGCACAGCCACUAGCAAGUAAGGAUUUCUUCAUUUCCGAGAGGGGUUCCACGUCACUAAAUAAAGAUAUCAUAGCUUGCCACCUGUCUAAUUCUAAGCAAGUGAAGAAUAUGUAAGAUUGGAUUAUUGUUAUUUGGGCUGAUAAAACACACCAAAGUAAAGUCCAUUUCACAUUUGUCCUUCCUUUUUUCUGUGUGCAAUCAGUUAUUUUCAUCUAUUCAAUUAAAACAUGAACAUGACCUAUUGAUAAAUGUUAUGUUCAACUAUUUUUAUAACUGCAUCAAAUUAUAUCACAUCUCUAAACAUUGAAUUAAACACAAAUAUGAUCACAAAAAAUAACACAAAUAUAAAAAUUAAAAUUUAUCAAAAAAAUAAAACAAAAAAUAUACUCGCCAUUUGAAAGGACGAGUCCUAAUCUAGUUCAUAAUUAAAACACUACAUAACAAAUAAGCUCUUCCGGACAAACCCGAAUAGCCAAGUUUAAAACUUUAGGAAAACAAACGAAGAGAGACAAACUCAACAGAGUUUGAUAAUGCAUCUAAAAACAUGCCAAACAUUACACUAGAAAAAGAGAACAAUCUCACUUUAAUCUCUUCAAACGACUUUUGAUGAACCAACUUGUGAAUGCGGCUUUAAAUACAAGUCCAUAACCUCGAAUUUCAUUAAAAUGAAUCUCGCUGCAUCUACCGGUUCCAAAAUACCUUCGCACAAGAGUGCAAGACGGUUAGGAUAAAGAUCUUCUUCGAAAUUGUAUCUCAAAAAAGGACCUUUCUCGAAGAAAUGAAUUUUUGAUGGAAGUGUUCUUCCUCAAAGGAAGAAUAGGGUUAAAUUGAUCUCUCUUGGUCCCAAAGGUUGAUUAGAUGUUUCCAUCCAUGACAAAAUCUGUGGGAUUAAGUGCAGAGCGCUUAAAGUGGAUUUUUUCCAUGAACCACCGAGACACAUAUUGCUGGAAAAGAAAGGAUUGAUGGUCUCCACGUUGACUGAUUUCAAUAACGGUACGUCUACGUCUCUCUGGUUGGCCCUCCUCUUUCCUCUCUAAGCGUGAAACCCAAAGAAGUCUCGAUCAAAUAACCAACUCGCCGAAUGUGAAACUGCAUCGCUUGGGUUGUGACUCGUGUACACACAAGAUUAUACAUAUAUAGUCAAUCACAUCUCCGUUGGUACCAUAUAAGCGGCUGUAACUCGUUCUGGCCUUAUGCAAGUUAGCAUCCUCAAUCAACAUAUAGUAUUGGCCACAAGUCAACAAAUAGUAUUAAACUUCUUUUUUUUUUCAUUUGAGAAAAGGUUAACUAGCGACUACAAUAGGUUCCAUUAACUCUUUAGCUUCUUCACCUCCCACAGCUGUGAGCUUUCUCAGACAGCAUAACAGAAGGAGGUCCUCUGCUUCCACCUCCAACAUAAAAUAUGGAAGGGUACGUACUUGUCAAGGGCUGCCAUUGAGUUCCAGUUGUGAACAAACGCAACAUGCUCACGAAGGUCACAUGCCCAUCCCCAGCUCUUUAGGAUGAUCAAUGCCGAGUUGACAUACUCAAACCAAAACGUAAAGAAGAUCGAGGCAUUAAAGACGAUCAUAAAGUCACCUGAUGCUCGAUCGUGUGGUCGUUAUGAUCCAUCUCCCAAGGUCUAUAAAACGAGUACCUGGAACAAGAAAAAGGGAUCCGAAUUAUUCCAUAUCAAACCUAUACUCCAAAUACCCUUGUCUCUUUAGAGUUUGUACUUUCUCAGAUUAUAAAUAAAACAGACAUUUUUCCUACAAAAUCGACACUAGACAUUUGAUUCAUUAGUUACCUUUUUAACAUGUCAAGUAAACUCUAACCCUAAUUUCUGAGUUGGAUUUUAAGAUCCAUCACUUCUCGAGAUCAGUUAGAAGAGAAUGCUUCCAUGUUUCUGCAUUUGAAUAGUGAAUUUCAUUUCAAGUAUUAGUGCUGGUCUCUUCUUCAAGCCAUUUCCCCCGAAAAGAUACCUUCGGAGUUAUUAUUUAGUUGUAGUGAAUUUCUAUUUGUAAAAUCAUAUUUUAAGACAUUUUUAAGUAGUAUAAAACUUCAGCUAGAGCUUGAGGUGUUUAUUUUUAUUUUUUAUAAAUAAAUUUUUAUUUGUAUUAGUUAUAAUAUAUAUUUUAAAAUUUACCCGUUCAAAUAAUUGUUUAAUAUGACAUUUCGAAACACAAUAAUUUUAUUGUUUAUAUUGAACAAUUUUAUUUUAUCCUGUAAAUCAUCAAUUUUAUGAUAGAAUAUGACAUGUAUAUCCGAACAAAUGUAUUUUUAUUUUUGUAUGGAUCAAAAUUUUAUGAUAAUAUAUAAUAUUUUUUAUAUACUAUUUAUGGAUUAAAAGUUUAUGAUAAUGUAUAGUAAAAUUUGUUGUAUAUACUAUAUAUUAUGUAUAUAUGGAAUUAGUAAAGUAGUUAGUUAACGUAUUAACUAUUUCCAAACACACAUAUAUAAUAUUAAUUAUUGUUGCCAAAAUUUUUUAGUUAUAAUUUGAUUUUGGAAAUACAUUAAAGAAGAAAAGACAAAGAAUCAUAAAAAUUAAAUUAAUUAAUAACUUCUGUGGCAUGUCAUUGUAAAUUAGUCGAAAAAUUAAGGGGUAUUUUAUUUUUGUACUUCUCUUUUAUAUAUAUGUUAAAUUAGAAGUUACAAAUAAAAUAAAAUGAAGUUUAAUUUUUUUUAAUUUCAAUUAUUUCUAAUAUAUUUUGGUCAUUUUACACAAUUUAAGGUAAAUUUUAUGGGGUUUUCGUAUAAAAUAAUUUAAGCAAAUGGUAUUUUGUUUUCGUGUGUAUUUAUAGAUAUAAAAUAUUUAAAAUCAAACCGACACAAAAUCAAAUAGAAAGAAUCUAAAAUUGUACCAACAUCAUACCAAAACUCUUUGAAUAUAGGUAUCUAUAUAGGUCCAAAACUCACAUAUAUGAAAAAAGUCAUAUCCAAUAAUUCCCAAACCUGACCUAAAACUCGAAUGUCCAUACCAACACAUGGGAACACAACAUGUCCCAAUUGGUUGAACAUUUAAUUUUGAAGAAAUGCAUGAUCUCGAUGUUGCAGUCCUUGUCAGCUGUAUAGAGAAUGUAAUUUGUUUUUGAAUAAACAAAUAUUACUUAUUAAAAAUAAAAUAAAAGAUUAUCUAAAAUAUGGAAACAACAAUAUACAUCAUCAUUUAAUAAACACAUUUUAUUAUUUUUGCUACAUACUGUAGCACUUUAUUUAUACAACGUAGGGAUUUUUAUUUACAAAUAAAAAUAAUCAACUUACAUAAAUAUUGUUAUAACAUUUAGGAAAACAUAUUUAGUCGAUGGUAGUCCAACGAAGCACAGGUCCUAGUGGGUCACUAGGAUUUCUUCUGAAAUAAAUUGCAUCAUGUCUGGCACACCAUUCACGGUAUUGACCACAUUUAUUCGACCUUGUGCCUGCUCGAAAUGCUUCAAGAUGAUGAAACUGUUUUAUUCGAGGACGAGGAUUAUGUGGAUCGACCGGAAGCUGGUAAAAGAGAUUACAAAUAUACGAUGUUCUUUCUUUAGCCGAGACGAAUCGAAAAAUAUGAGAACGGUCGGGUUGUAUAUUUAUUUGUCCAUGAGAAAUGGCUGGGUUCCAGGAUUGACAAGUGACAUGAAAAAUAGUACGGUUACCGAUUUCGUUCUUGAAUACUACACGACUUUCUGCGCAAGCUUCACUCAAUCCAAAACAUAUAGUAAUAACAAACAGAAACACUAUGAAAUUAUUCAUUUUUUUUUUUGUGAGA
rnacentral:lncRNA from 1 species